CCCUUAGAUGUUCUGGGCCGCACGCGUGCUACACUGACCGGCGCAACAAGUUUCUUUCCUUGGCUCGAUAGGCCUGGGUAAUCUUUGAACGCCGGUCGUGAUGGGGAUAGAUCCUUGCAAUUUUUGAUCUUCAACGAGGAAUUCCUAGUAAAUGCGAGUCAUCAUCUCGCGUUGAUUGCGUCCCUGCCCUUUGUACACACCGCCCGUCGCACCUACCGAUUGAAUGGUCCGGUGAAGCCUCGGGAUUGCGAAUGCUUCGUGCGGACGCGAGAACUUGGCUAAACCUUACCAUUUAGAGGAAGGUGAAGUCGUAACA
rnacentral:rRNA from 1 species